rnacentral:tRNA from 1 species
CGGGGUGUAGCGCAGUUUGGUAGCGCGCUUGGUUUGGGACCAAGAUGUCGGGAGUUCGAAUCUCUUCACCCCGACCA